CACCUGACCCCAUGCCGAACUCAGAAGUGAAACGCCGUAGCGCCGAUGGUAGUGUGGGGUCUCCCCAUGUGAGAGUAGGGAACUGCCAGGCA
rnacentral:rRNA from 4 species